rnacentral:rRNA from 1 species
GACGAACGCUGGCGGCGUGCUUAACACAUGCAAGUCGAACGGAAAGGCCCAGCUUGCUGGGUACUCGAGUGGCGAACGGGUGAGUAACACGUGGGUGAUCUGCCCUGCACUCUGGGAUAAGCCUGGGAAACUGGGUCUAAUACCGGAUAUGAUCAACUGUCGCAUGGUGGUUGGUGGAAAGCUUUUGCGGUGUGGGAUGGGCCCGCGGCCUAUCAGCUUGUUGGUGGGGUAAUGGCCUACCAAGGCGACGACGGGUAGCCGACCUGAGAGGGUGAUCGGCCACACUGGGGCUGAGACACGGCCCAGACUCCUACGGGAGGCAGCAGUGGGGAAUAUUGCACAAUGGGCGCAAGCCUGAUGCAGCGACGCCGCGUGAGGGAUGACGGCCUUCGGGUUGUAAACCUCUUUCACCAGGGACGAAGCGUGAGUGACGGUACCUGGAGAAGAAGCACCGGCCAACUACGUGCCAGCAGCCGCCGCAG